rnacentral:tRNA from 1 species
AUGAAGAGCCUGAUUAAAGGACUCAUCGUGAUAGGAUGAAAAAUGUAGGACCACAGAUCUACCUUCAUUA